rnacentral:rRNA from 1 species
AACGAACGCUAUCGGUAUGCUUAACACGUGCAAGUCGGACGGACUAAUUAGGGCUUGCUCCAAUUAGUUAGUGGCAGACGGGUGAGUAACACGUGGGAAUCUGCCCAUCAGUACGGAAUAACUUUUAGAAAUAAAAGCUAAUACCGUAUAUUCUCUACAGAGGAAAGAUUUAUCGCUGAUGGAUGAGCCCGCGUCAGAUUAGGUAGUUGGUGAGGUAACGGCUCACCAAGCCGACGAUCUGUAGCUGGUCUGAGAGGAUGAUCAGCCACACUGGGACUGAGACACGGCCCAGACUCCUACGGGAGGCAGCAGUGGGGAAUAUUGGACAAUGGGCGAAAGCCUGAUCCAGCAAUACCGAGUGAGUGAUAAAGGCCCUAGGGUUGUAAAGCUCUUUUAGCAAGGAAGAUAAUGACGUUACUUGCAGAAAAAGCCCCGGCUAACUCCGUG